rnacentral:rRNA from 1 species
UGGGGAAUAUUGCACAAUGGGCGCAAGCCUGAUGCAGCCAUGCCGCGUGUGUGAAGAAGGCCUUCGGGUUGUAAAGCACUUUCAGCGGGGAGGAAGGCGAUAAGGUUAAUAACCUUGUCGAUUGACGUUACCCGCAGAAGAAGCACCGGCUAACUCCGUGCCAGCAGCCGCGGUAAUACGGAGGGUGCAAGCGUUAAUCGGAAUUACUGGGCGUAAAGCGCACGCAGGCGGUCUGUCAAGUCGGAUGUGAAAUCCACGGGCUCAACCUGGGAACUGCAUUCGAAACUGGCAGGCUAGAGUUUUGUAGAGGAGGGUAGAAUUCCAGGUGUAGCGGUGAAAUGCGUAGCGAUCUGGAGGAAUACCGGUGGCGAAGGCAGCCCACUGGACAAAGACUGACGCUCAGGUGCGAAAGCGUGGGGAGCAAACAGG